rnacentral:tRNA from 1 species
ACCUGGCUGGCUCUGGUGGAGCAUGUGACUCUUGAUCUCAAGGUUGUGGGUUCAAACCCCUUGAUGGGUG